rnacentral:rRNA from 1 species
GAACGCGAAGAACCUUACCCGGGCUUGAAUUGCAGAGGAAGGAUUUAGAGAUAAUGACGCCUUCGGGGUCUCUGUGAAGGUGCUGCAUGGUUGUCGUCAGCUCGUGCCGUGAGGUGUCGGCUUAAGUGCCAUAACGAGCGCAACCCCUCUCUUCAGUUGCCAUCAGGUUAAGCUGGGCACUCUGGAGACACUGCCACCGUAAGGUGUGAGGAAGGUGGGGAUGACGUCAAAUCAGCACGGCCCUUACGUCCGGGGCUACACACGUGUUACAAUGGCCGGUACAGAGGGAUGGUGUAAUGCAAAUUGCAUCAAAUCUUGAAAGCCGGUCCCAGUUCGGACUGGGGUCUGCAACCCGACCCCACGAAGCUGGAUUCGCUAGUAAUCGCGCAUCAGCCAUGGCGCGGUGAAUACGUUCCCGGGUCUUGUACACACC